rnacentral:rRNA from 1 species
UACGGGGGGAGCAAGCGUUGUUCGGAAUUACUGGGCGUAAAGGGCUCGUAGGCGGCCAACUAAGUCAGACGUGAAAUCCCCAGGCUUAACCUGGGAACUGCGUCUGAUACUGGAUGGCUUGAAUUCGGGAGAGGGAUGCAGAAUUCCAGGUGUAGCGGUGAAAUGCGUAGAUAUCUGGAGGAAUACCGGUGGCGAAGGCGGCAUCCUGGACCGACAUUGACGCUGAGGAGCGAAAGCUAGGGGAGCAAACGGG